GAUGAACGCUGGCGGCGUGCCUAAUACAUGCGAGUCGAGCGAACAGACGAGGAGCUUGCUCCGCGGACGUUAGCGGAGGGCGGGUGAGUAACACGUGGAUAACCUACCUAUAAGACUGGGAUAACUUCGGGAAACCGGAGCUAAUACCGGAUAAUAUAUUGAACCGCAGGGUUCAAUAGUGAAAGACGGUUUUGCGGUCACUUCUAGAGGGAUACGCGCCGCAUUAGCUAGUUGGUAAGGUAACGGCUUACCAAGGGAACGAUGCGUGGCCGACCUGCUAGGGUGUUCGCCCGCCCUGGAAGUGGACCGCGGUCCUGGGUCCUGCGGGAGGCAGCAGUAGGCUAUGGUCCGCAGUGGGCGGAAGCUUGGCGGAGCAACGCCGCGUGAGUGAUGACGGUCUUCGGUUCGUAAAACUCUGUUAUUGGGGAAGAACAAAUGUGUAAGUAACCAUGCCCGUCUUGACGGUACCUAGUCAGAAAGCCACGGCUAACUACGUG
rnacentral:rRNA from 1 species